GUAGGGGGGCCGAACGUUGUCCGGAUUUAUUGGGCGUAAAGGGCUCGUAGGCGGGUUCAACAAGUCGGUCGUGAAAUGCCGGGGGCUCAACCCCGGAACGCCGGUCGAAACUGUUGUGACUAGGGUCCGGUAGAGGUGAGCGGGAUUCUCGGUGUAGCGGUGGAAUGCGCAGAUAUCGAGAGGAACACCAGUUGCGAAGGCGGCUCACUGGGCCGGUACCGACGCUAAGGAGCGAAAGCAUGGGGAGCAAACAGGAUUAGAUACCCUGGUAGUCCAUGCUGUAAACGGUGAACACUAGGUGUGGCGGAUCUAUUGAUGUCUGCCGUACCGUAGCUAACGCGUUAAGUGUUCCGCCUGGGGAGUACGGCCGCAAGGCUA
rnacentral:rRNA from 1 species